CCCAGACUCCUACGGGAGGCAGCAGUGGGGAAUAUUGCACAAUGGGCGAAAGCCUGAUGCAGCGACGCCGCGUGAGUGAAGAAGUAUUUCGGUAUGUAAAGCUCUAUCAGCAGGGAAGAAAAUGACGGUACCUGACUAAGAAGCCCCGGCUAACUCCGUGCCAGCAGCCGCGGUAAUACGGAGGAUGCGAGCGUUAUCCGGAUUUAUUGGGUUUAAAGGGUGCGUAGGCGGGCAUUUAAGCCGGCGGUCAAAUGUCAGGGCUCAACCCCGGCCUGCCGUCGGAACUGGGUGCCUUGAGUGGGCGAGAAGUAUGCGGAAUGCGUGGUGUAGCGGUGAAAUGCAUAGAUAUCACGCAGAGCCCCGAUUGCGAAGGCAGCAUACCGGCGCCCUACUGACGCUGAGGCACGAAAGUGCGGGUAUCGAACAGGAUUAGAUACCCCCGUA
rnacentral:rRNA from 1 species